rnacentral:lncRNA from 1 species
AAGAUGAUACUUGGGAAGCCUGGCUAAAUGCUGAUGCAUCUGGUUUGUCUAGUGCUAUGGGAUUUGGGGGGAAUGGCGUUAAGUUAAGGCGUGGAUAUGCUCCUCCUCAGUCAUCGAAACCAACACAGGCACUCAUUUACACACUAUCAAGUUCACUACUGUUGGUUCUCUUUGUGCUGAUACCAAGUUUACCUAUGUUCUCAUUCUUCUCUUUUUUAAGUGGCCACAGUGGGGGAGGAGUAGCGUGAAAGACUUAAAUUGUACUACUGUUGGUUCUCUUUGUUCUGAUAUCAAGUUUACCGAUGUUGGUUUCCUUUGUUACUGAUGAUCUUAUGGUGUUCAGUCUCACUGCAUCUUCUCUUUUUUAAGUGGCCACGGUGGGGGAGGAGUAGCAUGUGAUAAGAAUGGACCUUGGGCCUAACUCAACCCCAAAAGCUAGCUUAUGAGGUGAGGAUUGCCCAAGCCAUAUAAGGAGACCAAGAACCUCAAAUCCCUCCGAUGUGGGACAACUCAACAGCAUGAAAGACUUAAAUUGUUUGAUAAAAAUGCUAUAAAAGGAAGAGAGAAAAUGUCUUUGCUUUCCCCUCCAGUUAAAACUGGAAAAUAAAAAAGAAAGUAAAAAAUAAAAAAGUUCAAGUGAAAUAUCUAGUAUUUGGGAAAAUUUGGGUUGGGACUGCAUGCAUGUAGACUUGAUCACUUGGUUCAUAAAAUGUUAUAUUCCAACUAUGCUGGAAAAUUCAAAUAAGUGUCGUGAAGCUUGUACCAGCUUUCUGAUUGCAAAAAGCUGCGGGCUUGGAAAUUGCAGAAGCUAAGUUAGUAGGAGGAGGUAAGUCAUGCUAAUAUCCUCCUUUGUGGGUCUUCUUGUUUUAUCUGUCGAUUGUGAGAAAAUGAUAAAAGAGAGCUUGUAUUGAAUUAAUUAUGUAAGCCAUACAGAAGGGCUCCUUGCAUAGGAGUUUACACUUUAGGACUAAGAAAAGUUUAUAAUGUUGUAUAUUAUAACAGAGAAAUUAAUUAAAUAAGGCAUACUUAAUUUGAGCUUUCUACUUAUGAUAGGAGUAAGAAAAUUUAUAAUAUUGUAAUUAAAGAGAAGGUAAUUAAAUAAAGAAUAUUUGAAUACUGAGAGUUCUCCUUAUGAUAGGGUUGACAAGAAUGUUAGAUAUUAUUAACCUGAACACAUGAAACAUCUAGAAAAUUUUAACAUAUACAUCACCAUUUCGUUUUAUCUGACCCUUGUUUGAUUGGGUAUGGAGUUUAAGAAAGAAAAGAACUUAAACAUGCCAUAACAUUUGUGUUGCUAUAAGACUGUUGAACCUUACAACAACAACAACAACAACAACUACCCAGUAUACUCCCA